rnacentral:rRNA from 1 species
CUACGGGGUGCUGCAGUGAGGAAUAUUGCGCAAUGGGGGAAACCCUGACGCAGCGACGCCGCAUGGAUGAUGAAGGCCUUCGGGUCGUAAAAUCCUGUCAGAAGGAAAGAAGUGUGUGGUAGCUAAUAUCUGCCAUACUUGACGGUACCUUCAAAGGAAGCACCGGCUAGCCCGUGCCAGCAGCCGCGGUAAUACGGAGGGUGCAAGCGUUGUUCGGAAUUACUGGGCGUAAAGCGCGCGUAGGCGGUUUUAUAAGUCAGAUGUGAAAGUCCACGGCUCAACCAUGGAAGUGCAUUUGAAACUGGAAGACUUGAGUAUUGGGGGGGGUAGUGGAAUUCCCGGUGUAGAGGUGAAAUUCGUAGAUAUCGGGAGGAAUACCGGUGGCGAAGGCGACUAUCUGGCCAAAUACUGACGCUGAGGUGCGAAAGCGUGGGGAGCAAACAGGAUUAGAUACCCCGGUAGUC